GCGGGCGUAGCCAAGUGGUAAGGCAGUGGAUUGUGACUCCAUUAUUCGCGGGUUCAAAUCCCGUCGUUCGCC
rnacentral:tRNA from 1 species